rnacentral:miRNA from 1 species
GGGGCUUGCCUGGGGCUGGACUGGGCUGGGCUGGGCUGGGCUGGGCUGAGGCUGGGGCUGGGCUGGGCUGUUCUUGU